rnacentral:rRNA from 1 species
CACGGGGGGGGUAAGCGUUGUUCGGAAUUACUGGGCGUAAAGGGCUCGUAGGCGGCCAACUAAGUCAGACGUGAAAUCCCUCAGCUUAACUGGGGAACUGCGUCUGAUACUGGAUGGCUUGGAUUUGGGAGAGGGAUGCGGAAUUCCAGGUGUAGCGGUGAAAUGCGUAGAUAUCUGGAGGAACACCGGUGGCGAAGGCGGCAUCCUGGACCAAUAUUGACGCUGAGGAGCGAAAGCCAGGGGAGCAAGCAGG